rnacentral:tRNA from 1 species
GUUAACGUAAUUUAUGGAAAAGAAUUUUAGUUUGUGGAACUAAAUGAGGGGAAGUUUUUUUCUUCCGUUAGCA